AGUCUAUAUGAAGGACCAUUAACCUGUAAGAAACACAAGGGAGUCUUUUCAAUUCAAUUCAUCUUCUCCAACUCAGUAAUAGAAAUUUGAAACCAAGAAAAAACAAGGAAUCUGGAAUUUCCAAGGACACAUGAUGGUGAAGUACAUUUUAUAUGAUAUCCUUCAUGGCAUGUUCUAAUAUAAUCCUUCACAUGCAUAACUCAGAAAGUUGGACAGUUGUUUCAUUUGGUUAGACAUUACACAUCCUAUGCCUUGAUACUGAAUGCAAUUCCUUGUCAAGAAACACACGAGUCAAAUGCUUUGCUACAGCAGGAUUUAGCUUAGAAAUUAGAUGAAUGAUAGAUCCUCUAAAUGAAACAUGAACAAAUGAAUUGAAACUGGAUAAAUAUGACAGCAGUAUCCUUGUGGCCAAUUUCUCAACUGCAUGCAAGUUCCAAAUUUUGUUUAAGUAAAUGAAUUGAAACAGGAUAAAUAUGACAGCAAUAUCCUUGUGGCCAAUUUCUCAACUGCAUGCAAGUUCCAAAUUUUGUUUAAGUAAAUGAAUUGAAACAGGAUAAAUAUGACAGCAA
rnacentral:misc_RNA from 1 species